ensembl:lincRNA
CAUCCCACAGGCAUCUGGGUACAAUGGAGCAUUUUACACGCUGGUAAACUUUUGGGAAACUUUAUUGAAGUCAGAUGAUCCUUUUCUCCUUUCCCCAAAGUAAGGCCACAGGUGCUGCCUUGAAGGGCUCACGUGGCAGAGCUGACGGUCAAGGGAUGGUGCUGAAGAUCUUCUAGAAUGCUACGGGCCAGGGUUCACCUCCAUGAGCAUCUCCCUGGGGGACUUUAUGGAAACCCUCAGGACAGAAUGAAUGUUCUCCGGGACCAGCAGACCAAUGCAGGGGCUGGUGUGAAAAGCCAGAGCGUCUUACUCACUUUCCUUGCCACGGAGCCACAAUGCCUGAUGCCCACAGUUUAAAGAAGGAAAGAAAGGUUUAUUCUGGCUCAUGUUUUCAGGAGAGUCAGUCCAUGGUCAGCUGGCUUUAAAGCAGAAAUGGCAGGGUGGAAAAGAGCCUGGUACAGAAGAGAGCUGCUCACGUCAUGGCAGCCAGGAAGCUCACAGGCGCUAGGGAGGGAGAUGCGCCCUUCCAGAUCACCGUGCAGUGACCUGCCUCUCACUGGCUCCCACCUCCUAACAGUAUACUCAGCUGCUCUACUCCCCCCACCAUAUGAUCACCUUCCGAAAACCCUGUCCCUGAACAACGAGGCUUUUGGGAGACAUUCUCCAUCUAGGCCAUAACAUUGAGAAUACAGGUCGCUCUGGUCAGAAGGAACUCCAUACUGUAGCCCAGAGCUGUUUCCUGUCUCCUCCACGCGUCCCACCCUUGGACCUGCUACCUCCUCCCUCUGCUCCUGGGUGCAGCUCUUGCAGGAAGCCUUCCUGGGCCCAUCAUCUCCCUGGCAAGCACCCCUGUGCUGCCAUAUACUUUUGCUUCCAGCCUCCAGCCUUCUAAAUAUCCCAGUGCAGCUGCCUAACUGCAGUCACCUGCAGUCUUCAGACUCAAAUUCUUCGUCAGAAGCUUCUGGGCUACCCCGACCCCUAGGACCCCUGUACCUGGCACACCGGAGGUGCUCAGGAGAGUUUGUGCACAGGCGUGUGAGAACUGGAAGGUGGACCGGAGCUUCCCAGAGUGCUCCCCUGCGUGUAUGCUCUCCCAGAGUGACAGAAAGGCUGGGCUGCAGAGUUGGUCCAUGGGGACAGCUGUGGAACCAGUGUGUGUCUGGGACCGCAGAGAGCUGCCAGUCUCCGUUGGUUGGUCCCCUAGGAUGUGAGGACCUGAACAUGGGGCUCAGGGUGAGUUGGCUGAGAGGACAAGCUGUCAGAGGCCUCAGUUUGUCUGCCGCAGGGCAGCACUGAUCUAGUCCAGUUGUGGCGAACCUCUCAGAGCUCUCAGUGGUACAAACAGCCCGCUGUGGCACGUGUGCCAUGGGUUUACCACCACUGAUCUAGUUACUUGCUCUGGCAGGGGGUUGGUAACCCUUUCCUUACUGUUCUAGUCACCAGGCCACCUCUCCUGGGGGAGUUGGCUUUGGUUUUACCAACUGCCAUUGCCAUUGUGUGCCUUUAUUGAACAAGAGGGUGGGACUCAAUGUUCUGAGAGUCUAGGACCAUCGCAGGACCCGGGGAGAAGUGUAUCCCAGGGCACAGGGUCACGGUGCCUUGCUCAGGAUCCCAGCUUGACCUCCACAGCGAACCACACGUGAGUACUCCAUCCCUGCACCAAUGCGGGGCAGGUGAACCCCUAAGUCUACCCUUGUGUACCUCACCCUCUACCUCCUAGGGUCUGAGUCAUUGCCCCUUGGACUGGGCCAAUUCUGCUCAGAAACAGACCAAGCUGUGCCCUUUCUUUGCCCUUGAUCUGAGGGCAGGUCCUCAGCCCAGGGAGAGUUGAAUCAGAAUGACUUCCACCCCACAGCAUCUCCGCCUCCCCCUCCACAGCGGGCAGUGUGUGUGUAAUGGGCCCCUCCCUGCCCCAAGACCUCAGGCUCAGAAGGUGUGGCUUCCUCACCACACUGAUGGUACCAACUCCCACUCUGGAACUCCAGCACCCCUGGGUUCUCCUUGGAGCGCUCUUGCUCUGGGACAAAGAGCCAGCACAUCCUCGGGUCCCACCAGGCCUGGGAUGGCAGCCCGCCUCCUGCCUCAAACAAGAACAAUCAAGCCAUCAGCCCAAUUUUUUUUAAAUCAAUUCCCACG